GAUGAACGCUGGCGGCGUGCCUAAUACAUGCAAGUCGAGCGAACAGAUGAGGAGCUUGCUCCUCUGACGUUAGCGGCGGACGGGUGAGUAACACGUGGAUAACCUACCUAUAAGACUGGGAUAACUACGGGAAACCGGAGCUAAUACCGGAUAAUAUAUUGAACCGCAUGGUUCAAUAGUGAAAGACGGUUUUGCUGUCACUUAUAGAUGGAUCCGCGCCGCAUUAGCUAGUUGGUAAGGUAACGGCUUACCAAGGCAACGAUGCGUAGCCGACCUGAGAGGGUGAUCGGCCACACUGGAACUGAGACACGGUCCAGACUACUACGGGAGGCAGCAGUAGGGAAUCUUCCGCAAUGGGCGAAAGCCUGACGGAGCAACGCCGCGUGAGUGAUGAAGGUCUUCGGAUCGUAAAACUCUGUUAUUAGGGAAGAACAAAUGUGUAAGUAACUAUGCACGUCUUGACGGUACCUAAUCAGAAAGCCACGGCUAACUACGUG
rnacentral:rRNA from 1 species